CUGCUGCGGUAGAGGCUGCCCGUCCCCGCAGCUGCUGGUUGUCAUGGUAAUAACCAAUGGAGAGUUGCUUGGUCUUACUGUUUUUUUCCAGCUCCCCCUGUGAAGAAGUCCCAGCAUUCAUUGGCACUACCCUGUGGAAGAGGAAGAUGGAACAGAGGAAACAAAUUCCUUGAGCAAUCAGGGUUCUCAGUAGCAUAAGUUGGUGGAUAGUUCCAAACCUUUUUAGUUCAUUUCCUGCGGUAAAUUCCAUGCCAUUUUCAUGAAUGCUCUUUUGGAGGUCCCAAGGAGUGAGGUCAGCAGUAUUGAGGUUUAGGUUUCAUUAUGUCCUUUGUAAUUUCUCUCCUUCAUUUGUCGUUAUUGAUCUCCUUUACGGCAAUAUUGCCUUACGGCCAAGCAGUUCUGCGUGGGAGAUGUUUGCGGCCACGAAGCCUGGGGCAGGCGGACCUAAACCGUGAGCGCCAAGGAAGGGCUUGUAGGUGAGCAGGGCGGACACCUGCCGGCGCAGGAAGCGCCCUGUUCAGGGGACAGUCCUCCGCGGGCCCAAUGAGGAGCGUUCGUCCAAGCCCAGCGCUGCC